rnacentral:rRNA from 1 species
AACGAACGCUGGCGGCAUGCCUAACACAUGCAAGUCGAACGAGACCUUCGGGUCUAGUGGCGCACGGGUGCGUAACGCGUGGGAACCUGCCUUUAGGUUCGGAAUAACUCAGAGAAAUUUGAGCUAAUACCGGAUGAUGUCUUCGGACCAAAGAUUUAUCGCCUUUAGGUGGGCCCGCGUUGGAUUAGCUAGUUGGUGGGGUAAAGGCCUACCAAGGCGACGAUCCAUAGCUGGUCUGAGAGGAUGAUCAGCCACACUGGGACUGAGACACGGCCCAGACUCCUACGGGAGGCAGCAGUGGGGAAUAUUGGACAAUGGGCGAAAGCCUGAUCCAGCAAUGCCGCGUGAGUGAUGAAGGCCUUAGGGUUGUAAAGCUCUUUUACCCGAGAUGAUAAUGACAGUAUCGGGAGAAUAAGCGCCGGCUAACUCCGUG